CAAUAGCGUAUAUUAAAGUUGUUGCAGUUAAAAAGCUCGUAGUUGGAUUUCUGUGAGAGUGCCGGUGUCGGCUGAUGCUUGUACGCAGGCGCUCUUACAUCCUUCUGUUAACUGUUCUUGGCAUUUUAUUGCUGGUUCAGGGCUCAGAUAUUUUACCUUGAGAAAAUUAGAGUGUUUCAGGCAGGCUUAUGCCGGAAUACAUUAGCAUGGAAUAAUGGAACAGGACCUGUGCGUCUCUCGGGGCGCCGGUCUCCGUUGUUGGUUUCGGGGACUAAUGUAAUGAUUAAUAGGGAUAGUUGGGGGCAUUAGUAUUUAAUAGUCAGAGGUGAAAUUCUCGGAUUUGUUAAAGACUAACUUAUGCGAAAGCAUUUGCCAAGAAUGUUUUCAUUAA
rnacentral:rRNA from 1 species